GUGGGGAAUUUUGGACAAUGGGCGCAAGCCUGAUCCAGCCAUUCCGCGUGCAGGAUGAAGGCCUUCGGGUUGUAAACUGCUUUUGUACGGAACGAAAAGGUUCUCUCUAAUACAGGGGGCUGAUGACGGUACCGUAAGAAUAAGCACCGGCUAACUACGUGCCAGCAGCCGCGGUAAUACGUAGGGUGCAAGCGUUAAUCGGAAUUACUGGGCGUAAAGCGUGCGCAGGCGGUUUUGUAAGACAGUGGUGAAAUCCCCGGGCUCAACCUGGGAACUGCCAUUGUGACUGCAAGGCUAGAGUGCGGCAGAGGGGGAUGGAAUUCCGCGUGUAGCAGUGAAAUGCGUAGAUAUGCGGAGGAACACCGAUGGCGAAGGCAAUCCCCUGGGCCUGCACUGACGCUCAUGCACGAAAGCGUGGGGAGCAAACAGGAUUAGAAACCCGAGUAGUCC
rnacentral:rRNA from 1 species